rnacentral:rRNA from 1 species
CUACGGGUGGCUGCAGUGGGGAAUCUUAGACAAUGGGGGAAACCCUGAUCUAGCCAUGCCGCGUGAGCGACGACGGCCCUAGGGUUGUAAAGCUCUUUCAGCAGGGAAGAUAAUGACGGUACCUGCAGAAGAAGUCCCGGCUAACUCCGUGCCAGCAGCCGCGGUAAUACGGAGGGGACUAGCGUUGUUCGGAAUUACUGGGCGUAAAGCGCGCGUAGGCGGAUUGUUAAGUCGGGGGUGAAAUCCCGGGGCUCAACCCCGGAACUGCCCUCGAUACUGGCAGUCUUGAGUUCGAGAGAGGUGAGUGGAAUUCCGAGUGUAGAGGUGAAAUUCGUAGAUAUUCGGAGGAACACCAGUGGCGAAGGCGGCUCACUGGCUCGUUACUGACGCUGAGGUGCGAAAGCGUGGGGAGCAAACAGGAUUAGAUACCCGGGUAGUC